GCAAAUGCGAAAAGCAGGCCGAGAAGCGAGCAUAAAUAAAUUUUGUUUUAUGCGUCAAUAAUGAUGAAGUUAUUACGACUCUAUUAGAAGGCAGCCGAACUUCCAGGACACAUCCUUGCCCUGCUGCCUCCCUGCCUCCCUGCCCCGAAAUGGCUGCAUUAAAAAAGUUUACAAAAACUCAGGGCCACAGGGCGCAGGACACGCUCACCUCUGGAAUUUCCCGCCCUUUGUCCAACCCACUUAAGCGACGCCGAAACUUUUUUAUUAAACCGUGCAGUCCGGCUAAUAGAUGAAAUGAGAUGAGUUGAGCCGGGGAAGAGGUCCGGAUUGGGAUACGGAUAGCUAGGGCCUGGGACUGGAACUGGGUAUCCCAUAUCCAAAAUGGCCGCUCGGCUGCGCUUAAUAAAAUUUAUGAUUUCGACGCACGGCUUUGACAGUUCAAAUUAAAAUGGGUGCGGCCCUCGAGCGGCGGGAGAAUCCGGGCAGCCAGGUGGGGACAUGGCCAUCGAUCUAAGGAUGAGGAUGAGCAAGAAGUGGAGGCUGGGCGUGUACCGGAGGCCACUUGAUGGCCACAAGAAAGUGGAAAGCCAAAAGUUAAAUACAAAGUUGGAGCGCACAAAUUGAUAAUGCCGAACCGCUCAGCUCCCCUGACUCCUCAUCCAAACUCCAAGAUACAUAAUGCAAAAACUGACAUGGCAGCCGCACAAUAUGAAAGAUUAUGGCAUGCAGCGCAACUGGCGCGGAACGAACUGCCGGGCAGGGAAGUGGAUUACAGUGUGGAAGUGGGAAGGGAGUUCGGUUUGGUUCUGUUCUGUUCGCCUUAAAUCCCGAUCCGGAAACGGCCAAGACGAGGACGACUUGGGGCGGAAGCGCCGCUGCCAUCAAAUCAUUUUGCAAGCGGAAAAUGGCGCUUGACAACGUACUUCAGCCCCUCGACGAGUCAUUGUUGUUUGCCAUCGGGGCAUGGCCAGAAUUUGCGGCGCUCUAUAAAAAAUUGCAAACAUUUCCAGGCAAAUCAGAGGAAAAACUCCACUCGCAAAGUUGCGACAUUCGCAUUACCUUGCAUUGCAGUUGUGCAAUUAUUACUGAGAUUUUCUAAGCAAUCCAAAGAAGUUUAAAAUAUUAAGUUAUGCCAUGUAUAGCCCUGAAAAUGUUUUAUGUAUAAAGGGUGAUGAUUGCUUAAACUAAUUUUCAAGAUAAAGCUGCAAAUACUUACUUCACGGUCAGAGACGGGCAAAUACCUUAAACAUUUUCCGAAUUAUUUGCCCAAAAUGAGAUAAUUUUCCAGGAUAUUUGCAGCCCGCAAAUGGUGAACAUCAAAUCGUAGCGUGGCGCAGUGGAAACUCUGAAAAAUGACUUGGCCAAGAUGGCUGAGAUGGCUGAGAUGGGUGGAGAUGGCCAAGUACAUAAUCAGCAGGGACAUGGACAUCGACAUGACUGGCCGUCCGGGCGGAACUCGCCACUGGCCAGCGGGCCACGUUUCGUUGCGCUUAGUUAUUUUAUAAAAAUUUCUGGUCUUCAUUCA